ensembl:snRNA U6 U6 spliceosomal RNA
GUGCUCGCUUCGGCAGCACAUAUACUAAAAUUGGAACGAUACAGAGAUUAGCAUGGCCCCUGCGCAAGGAUGACACACAAAUAGGCAUAUUGUAACAGGGGCUG